AGAGUUUGAUCAUGGCUCAGGAUGAACGCUGGCGGCGUGUCUAAGGCAUGCAAGUCGAAUGCUUUCUUCGGAAGGCAUGGCAAACGGGUGAGUAACACACUGGUAACCUACCUCUAACACAAGGAUAAUCUUGAGAAAUCGAGACUAAUACUUGAUGGUCCUUAAUAUCAUAUGAUGUUAAGGUAAAGCUCCGACAGUUAGAGAGGGGCCUAUGGCUUAUCAGCUUGUUGGUGGGGUAAAAGCCCACCAAGGCUAUGACGAGUAGCGGGCGUGAGAGCGCGACCCGCCUCAAUGGGACUGAGACACUGCCCAUACUCCUACGGGAGGCUGCAGUCGAGAAUCUUCCCCAAUGGACGAAAGUCUGAGGGAGCGACGCCGCGUGAUUGAAGACGCCCUUCGGGGUGUAAAAAUCUUUUCUGAAGAACGAACGUCGACGGUACUUCAGGAAUAAGGGGCUGCUAAACUCGUGCCAGCAGCCGCGGUAAU
rnacentral:rRNA from 1 species